GGUCCAAACUCCUACGGGAGGCAGCAGUGAGGAAUAUUGGUCAAUGGACGAGAGUCUGAACCAGCCAAGUAGCGUGCAGGAUGACGGCCCUAUGGGUUGUAAACUGCUUUUAUAAGGGAAUAAAGUGAGCCUCGUGAGGCUUUUUGCAUGUACCUUAUGAAUAAGGACCGGCUAAUUCCGUGCCAGCAGCCGCGGUAAUACGGAAGGUCCGGGCGUUAUCCGGAUUUAUUGGGUUUAAAGGGAGCGUAGGCCGGAGAUUAAGCGUGUUGUGAAAUGUAGAUGCUCAACAUCUGCACUGCAGCGCGAACUGGUUUCCUUGAGUACGCACAAAGUGGGCGGAAUUCGUGGUGUAGCGGUGAAAUGCUUAGAUAUCACGAAGAACUCCGAUUGCGAAGGCAGCUCACUGGAGCGCAACUGACGCUGAAGCUCGAAAGUGCGGGUAUCGAACAGGAUUAGAUACCCUGGUAGUCCGCACGGUAAACGAUGGAUGCCCGCUGUUGGUCUGAAUAGGUCAGCGGCCAAGCGAAAGCAUUAAGCAUCCCACCUGGGGAGUACGCCGGCAACGGUGAAACUCAAAGGAAUUGACGGGGGCCCGCACAAGCGGAGGAACAUGUGGUUUAAUUCGAUGAUACGCGAGGAACCUUACCCGGGCUUGAAUUGCAGAGGAAGGAUUUGGAGACAAUGACGCCCUUCGGGGCCUCUGUGAAGGUGCUGCAUGGUUGUCGUCAGCUCGUGCCGUGAGGUGUCGGCUUAAGUGCCAUAACGAGCGCAACCCCUCUCCUUAGUUGCCAUCAGGUCAAGCUGGGCACUCUGGGGACACUGCCACCGUAAGGUGUGAGGAAGGUGGGGAUGACGUCAAAUCAGCACGGCCCUUACGUCCGGGGCUACACACGUGUUACAAUGGCAGGUACAGAGAGAUGGUGUUCUGCAAAGCGCAUCUAAUCCUUAAAGCCUGUCUCAGUUCGGACUGGGGUCUGCAACCCGACCCCACGAAGCUGGAUUCGCUAGUAAUCGCGCAUCAGCCAUGGCGCGGUGAAUACGUUCCCGGGCCUUGUACACACCGCCCGUCAAGCCAUGAAAGCCGGGGGCGCCUAAAGUCCGUGACCGUAAGGAGCGGCCU
rnacentral:rRNA from 1 species